rnacentral:rRNA from 1 species
GACGAACGCUGGCGGCGUGCUUAACACAUGCAAGUCGAACGGAAAGGCCCUGCUUUUGUGGGGUGCUCGAGUGGCGAACGGGUGAGUAACACGUGAGUAACCUGCCCUUGACUUUGGGAUAACUUCAGGAAACUGGGGCUAAUACCGGAUAGGAGCUCCUGCUGCAUAGUGGGGGUUGGAAAGUUUCGGCGGUUGGGGAUGGACUCGCGGCUUAUCAGCUUGUUGGUGGGGUAGUGGCUUACCAAGGCUUUGACGGGUAGCCGGCCUGAGAGGGUGACCGGCCACAUUGGGACUGAGAUACGGCCCAGACUCCUACGGGAGGCAGCAGUGGGGAAUAUUACACAAUGGGCGGAAGCCUGAUGCAGCAACGCCGCGUGCGGGAUGACGGCCUUCGGGUUGUAAACCGCUUUCGCCUGUGACGAAGCGUGAGUGACGGUAAUGGGUAAAGAAGCACCGGCUAACUACGUG